rnacentral:rRNA from 1 species
GAUGAACGCUGGCGGCGUGCUUAACACAUGCAAGUCGAGCGAAGCGGCUGAAUUGAUUCUUCGGAUGAUUUUCAGUUGACUGAGCGGCGGACGGGUGAGUAACGCGUGGGUGACCUGCCCCAUACCGGGGGAUAACAGCUGGAAACGGCUGCUAAUACCGCAUAAGCGCACAGAGCUGCAUGGCUCAGUGUGAAAAACUCCGGUGGUAUGGGAUGGGCCCGCGUCUGAUUAGGCAGUUGGCGGGGUAACGGCCCACCAAACCGACGAUCAGUAGCCGGCCUGAGAGGGCGACCGGCCACAUUGGGACUGAGACACGGCCCAAACUCCUACGGGAGGCAGCAGUGGGGAAUAUUGCACAAUGGGGGAAACCCUGAUGCAGCGACGCCGCGUGAGCGAAGAAGUAUUUCGGUAUGUAAAGCUCUAUCAGCAGGGAAGAUAAU